rnacentral:lncRNA from 1 species
GUAAAUGACUAAACAGAAAUGCUCUUCAUUCAUAUUUAAGAGCACUCAAUAUGGACUUGAAGCCCCAACUGAGUUAGUAAGGCGUAUAACCAGCAGCUUCUGGGAAGGGUGAUUCUGAGUAUUUUGAAUUGGAGCACCUCCAAAUAUCAGAAGGGACUAUCUAAUCUUUCAUCAGGGAUGUGGAGAAAUAAUGAAAGUCUGCCUGCUUUUACUUAACCCUCCUGUUUCAAUCUGGGGCCUCAUUCUGACUUCUUGUAGUUCUGGUGUUUCGGUCUGGAGCCCUUCUAGUUUAAUAUUUCCAGGGAAAAACUCUUUGGUUUGCAACUUUGAGGAAGGGUAAUAACCUAACCACAAGAGUUUGUGGUGGAGACUUGAGCCCCAAGAUACUUUAAGAAUUACACUAACUCCCAAAUUUGCCGUUUUUAGCCUUUCACUCUACCCCCAUCUUCUGCAGAAUCAGUACAAGGUACUUGCAUUUCUGUUUUGUUUUGUGAGGCUCUGUGAGGUGAAGCACUCGCUUCUCAUUGCUGUCGGCCUCUGGAGGUUUAAGUUCCCUUUGCUCAGCAAGGCAGUUACCGCUGCAUCACCUGCUUCCAUCUCGUAAACCUAUUGACAUUUUUUGUCCCUUUGACAUCUUCUGUGUCCUCUCCUGUUCUUUUCGUCCUCUUCGAUUUAUAGCUUUUUAUUGCUCUGUUGUCAUUUCGGUGUCAUUUCAGGAGAGGCAGCAACACAUGCACGUCUUCCAUCCAUCAUGUUUAAAUGUUUAAAAAGGCAGUCUCAUUGUGUCACUCCCUUUAGAGACAUCGAAUACUGUGAAUGUGGCCUGUAAAACUCUACCUGACCAGGCCUAUGCUUAUUUUCUUUGUUCUUUUCUGAAUUCUUCAACUUUAUGCUUUCUUUUCAAUCACUGUUUCUCUUUCAUAUAGCACAUACCAUAAUUUAAAUCAAGUAAUUCAUUUGAUAUAAACUCUGGUAGGUAGAGAGGCUUUCUUUCUUUGUCACUGCUGUUUUCCAGGUGCCUGGCACUGUGCCAGUGGUAACAGUCAGUCAAUAAAUAUUUGCUGAAUAAAUAAUUUAAGGUAUGUCAUUUGUUAACCCUAUCUUUUCCCCUCUAGUUAUCAGCAAUAAAAGACUUUACUUGUUUUAGAAACACCAGGAUAUAGUAGAAAAUGAUAAACUCUUCUAUUCCAGGGAAGUUGGGAGAAGAGCAAGUGAUAGUAAUGGAGUAUGCCCUUUGAGAAGGAAGAAGAUGGUCAUUUGUAUCUCAGGCACAGACACUAACUUUUGAGCACCUGCUUUGUGUAAGAAAUUGAUGGGAUGAUCCUAAAUUCAUAUGGAAAUGUAAGAUACUCCGAAAAACCAAAACGAUUUUGAAAAGGAAGAAAGUUGGAGGACGCAUACUUCCCAUUUUCAAAGUUACUACAGAGCUCUACAGUAAUUCAGACAAUGAAGUACGGGUAUAGGGAUAAAAAUAGAGAUUAGAGGAAUUGAAUUGAGAUUCCGGAAAUUAAUUCUUACCACAAACAAAACCAUCGAGAAAGUGGAAAGGCAACCCACACAUUUGGAGAAUAUAUCGCAAAACACAUAUAUAAUGAGGAACUUUUAUCCAGAAAAUAUAAAGAACUCUUACAAGUCAACGAUAAAAAGAUGGAUAAUACAAUUUAAAAGUGGGCAAAGGAUUUGAAUAGAUAUUUCUCCAAAGAAGACACACAAAUGGUCACUACAUAUAGGAAAAGAUGCUCAACAUUAUUAGUCACUAGUAAAAUGUAAAUUAAAAUCACAAUAACAUACUACUUCAAAUUAAGUAAGACAGUUAUUACUAAAAAGACAAACAUAGCAUGUUGGAGACAAUGUGGACUAAUUAGAACUCUCACACAUUUCUGGUAGGAAUAUAAUGGUGCAGCCACUUUGGAAAACAGUUUGGAACUUCCUGGCAGGUAUCUACUAAUUCACUACUUGGUAUCCGCU